UACGUAGGGUGCGAGCGUUGUCCGGAAUUAUUGGGCGUAAAGAGCUCGUAGGCGGUGUGUCGCGUCGGCCGUGAAAACCUGGGGCUUAACUCUGGGCUUGCGGUCGAUACGGGCAUCACUGGAGUUCGGCAGGGGAGACUGGAAUUCCUGGUGUAGCGGUGAAAUGCGCAGAUAUCAGGAGGAACACCGGUGGCGAAGGCAGAUCUCUGGGCCGUAACUGACGCUGAGGAGCGAAAGCGUGGGGAGCGAACAGG
rnacentral:rRNA from 1 species